ensembl:lncRNA
AAGAAGACCCUCGACAGACCUAGCUAAACGCUAAAAAAAAAUCACAGACAGUCACAAAUGGUUUAAAAGACGGUUUAGUGCCAAACAAUACUCAGAGGUUGAAUUCACUGUUGCCAAGCAGCUGAAGCCGAGAGGAGUGUCUGAUAUAAAUCAUGUACAGCGUCAGUCAGCGGAAUGUGGAAAGAGUGUACUCAUUAUUGCUAGGUGUUUGUGUAUUACUGGCCUGGGGCUUCGUGAUCUACGGCUGCAGGGAAGCGGCUCUGGAAAGUCUCACUGCUGUGGGUGGAGUCUGAGGCCCCGCAGACCACUGGGAAAUGGAGUUUCCUGCAGGAACAACGUCAUCGCAAACACAGACUGUCUGUCUCAGCGCAAGGAUGGAGUGAUAUGGACAUGUGUGAGGUGUCAUGGACAAAUGUGUGUGUGUGUGUGUGUGUGUGCACACAUGCCAGUGCACUCACUCACAUCUACCCUUCCCUGGUGGAAGAGUGUAGACCCAUUGUGAACUUAAUGAACAGAUGAGAGUGGAUAUGUGUGCAUUUUUGGUAUGAUGCUGUUGUGUUUUGAACUAUUCUCAUCUGAUGUUGUACUGCUUUGCUUUGUUUUUUAUUUCACCGGAAAAAAAUGUAAACCCUAUUUGGAAUAUCUCUUGGUUCAACAUCUCAUCAUGUAUAUAAGUAAAGCCAAACGCACAGAAAUCAGACCAAAUUCGAGAAAACAAGCGGGCCGUUAUUAAGCUUAAAUGUCAACUGUAACAUAUUAAAUUGACCUCAAGCGUAGAAUUUUGUCUGUAGAAAUUGCAGCAGGUUGACCUCCCCUCAAAAUUCAUACCUCGUUCCUACCCAGUUUCCACUUUUGAUUACUUGUGUUUGCCACUAGAAAAAUAUCUCCCUAAGUCAUGGCUUGCGAGACAGCUUGUUCUGUUUCAUAUACAUUUACAAGCUGUAUCAAAACCAACUACUGUUCUUUUCUGUCUCUUUUUGUUUUAGUGUUGUCAGCAUAAUUGGGUGGAUGGUGGAUGGUGGGGGGGUGGAAUUCCAAUCAGCAAAUAGAGGGAUAAAUCAAGCUCACAAGUCAUUUUCAGAGGGCUCAGAAAGGCU